CCUACGGGGGGCAGCAGUGGGGAAUAUUGGGCAAUGGAGGAAACUCUGACCCAGCAACGCCGCGUGGGUGAAGAAGGUCUUCGGAUCGUAAAACCCUGUUGUUAGAGAAGAAAGUGCGUGAGAGUAACUGUUCACGUUUCGACGGUAUCUAACCAGAAAGCCACGGCUAACUACGUGCCAGCAGCCGCGGUAAUACGUAGGUGGCAAGCGUUAUCCGGAUUUAUUGGGCGUAAAGGGAACGCAGGCGGUCUUUUAAGUCUGAUGUGAAAGCCUUCGGCUUAACCGGAGUAGUGCAUUGGAAACUGGGAGACUUGAGUGCAGAAGAGGAGAGUGGAACUCCAUGUGUAGCGGUGAAAUGCGUAGAUAUAUGGAAGAACACCAGUGGCGAAAGCGGCUCUCUGGUCUGUAACUGACGCUGAGGUUCGAAAGCGUGGGUAGCAAACAGGAUUAGAUACCCUGGUAGUC
rnacentral:rRNA from 1 species